rnacentral:rRNA from 1 species
UACAGAGGUCCCGAGCGUUUGUUCGGAUUCAUUGGGCGUAAAGGGUGCGUAGGCGGCUUUCUAAGUUUGAUGUGAAAUCCCGGGGCUCAACCCUGGAAUUGCAUUGAAUACUGGGAGGCUAGAGUACUGGAGAGGAAACUGGAAUUUACGGUGUAGCAGUGAAAUGCGUAGAGAUCGUAAGGAAGACCAGUGGCGAAGGCGAGUUUCUGGACAGUUACUGACGCUGAGGCACGAAGGCCAGGGGAGCAAACGGG